GAUGAACGCUGGCGGCGUGCCUAAUACAUGCAAGUCGAGCGAACAGAUGAGGAGCUUGCUCCUCUGACGUUAGCGGCGGACGGGUGAGUAACACGUGGAUAACCUACUUAUAAGACUGGGAUAACUUCGGGAAACCGGAGCUAAUACCGGAUAAUAUAUUGAACCGCAUGGUUCAAUAGUAAAAGACGGUUUUGCUGUCACUUAUAGAUGGAUCCGCGCCGCAUUAGCUAGUUGGUAAGGUAACGGCUUACCAAGGCAACGAGGCGUAGCCGACCUGAGAGGGUGAUCGGCCACACUGGAGCUGAGACACGGUCCAGACUCCUACGGGAGGCAGCAGUAGGGAAUCUGACGCAGUGGGCGAAAGCCUGACGGAGCAACGCCGCGUGAGUGAUGAAGGUCUUCGGAUCGUAAAACUCUGUUAUUAGGGAAGAACAAAUGUGUAAGUAACUAUGCACGUCUUGACGGUACCUAAUCAGAAAGCCACGGCUAACUACGUG
rnacentral:rRNA from 1 species